GACGAACGCUGGCGGCGUGCCUAAUACAUGCAAGUAGAACGCUGAAGGAGGAGCUUGCUUCUCUGGAUGAGUUGCGAACGGGUGAGUAACGCGUAGGUAACCUGCCUGGUAGCGGGGGAUAACUAUUGGAAACGAUAGCUAAUACCGCAUAAUAGUAGAUGUUGCAUGACAUUUGCUUAAAAGGUGCAAUUGCAUCACUACCAGAUGGACCUGCGUUGUAUUAGCUAGUUGGUGGGGUAACGGCUCAACAAGGCGACGAUACAUAGCCGACCUGGGAGGGGGAUCGGCCACACUGGGACUGAGACACGGCCCAGACUCCUACGGGAGGCAGCAGUAGGGAAUCUUCGGCAAUGGACGGAAGUCUGACCGAGCAACGCCGCGUGAGUGAAGAAGGGUUUCGGAUCGUAAAGCUCUGUUGUAAGGGAAGAACGAGUGUGAGAGUGGAAAGUUCACACUGUGACGGUAUCUUACCAGAAAGGGACGGCUAACUACGUG
rnacentral:rRNA from 1 species